rnacentral:lncRNA from 10 species
CAUUUUUUGGCCGAGCCUGGUGGCUCAUGUCUGUAAUCCCAGCACUUUGGGAGGCUGAGGUGGGUGGAUUGCUUGAGGCCAGGAGUUUGAGACCAGCCUGGGCAACCCAGUAAAAGCAUAUCUCUAAAAAUUUUUUUUAAAUUAACUGGGCAUAGUGGUGUGCGCCUAUAGUCCCAGCCCAGCUACUCAGAAGGCUGAGGUGGGAAAGGAUCGCUCAGGCAUGGGAUGUUGAGGCUGCAGUGAGAUGUGAUUGCACCAUUGCACUCCAGCCCCUGGGUGACACAGUGAGACCUCAUCUCUGGAAAAAAAAAAAAAAAAAGCAUUUUUUACUGUCACUUGAGUGGUCUGUAGAUAGCGACAGGAGGUAAUAUAUGUGUCCAGCCAUCUUUGUAAUCUCAUAAUCUGAGACAGUCUCAGAAAGUAAGAACUUUUCCUGCUCCACUCUGUAAUGUUUUCUCUCUAGUCUUUAAAAAAAUAGUAAUUUAAAAAAUAUUUUAUAAGUAUAAUUAACUUAUAAUAAAUCGUGCACAUUAAAAGUAUACAAUUUAGUAAAUUCAUACAUAUCUGCAAAUCCAUCACCACAAUCAAAAUGGUGAAUUUAAGGCUGGGCAUGAUGCUCACACCUGUAAUCCCAGCGCUUUGGGAGGCCAAGGUGGGAGGAUCACUUGAGACCAGGAGUUAGAGACCAGGCUGAGAGAUAGAGUGAAACCCCAUCUCUACAAAAAUUUGUUUUUAAAACAUUAGCCAAGUGUGGUGGCACGAGCCUGAAGUCUCAGCUACUUGGGAGGCUGAAGUGGGAGGAUAGCUUGAGGCCAGGAGUUUGAAGCUGCAAUGAGCUAUGAUCACGCCUCUGCACUCCAGCCUGGGCAAAAGAGCCAGAUCCUGCCUCUAAAAAAAAAAAAAAAAGAAAAGAAAAAAAAGAAAACAAUUUUUUUUAAAAGAUAGUAAAGUUACCUAUCACUCUCAAAAGUUUCCUUAUGAAGCUUUGAUAUCACGCCCUGCUACCAACCCCAUUCCCCCACACCCAAGCCACCUCUGAUCUAUUUUCUGUAAUUAUAGACUGGUUUGAAUUUUCUAAAAUUUCAUACAAAUGGAAUCACACAGUAUGAACUGUUUUUUUAUAGGGUGGGUGGUCUGGCCUCUUUCAUUGUGCAUUUUUUUGAUAUUUGUCCAUACUGUAGUAGAUAUCAGUAGUUCAUUCCUUUUAAUUACCAAGUAGUAAUCUGUUGUAUAGAUAUAUAACACAAUUUGUUUUAAUCUAUUCACCUGUGGACACACAUUUGGGCUGUUUCCACUUUUGCUGUUACUAAUAAAGCUGCUAUUUAUAUAAAAGUCUUAAUAUGGAUAUAUACUUUCAUUUCUCUUGGGUAAAUACUAAGGAAUUGAAUGCCUAGGUUAUAUGGUCAGUGUAUUUGUAACUUUUUAAGAAAGUGCCCAAUUGUCUUCCAAAGAGGUUAGAGCUUUUAUGUUCCCACUCGCAGUGUAUGGAAUUCCAGUUGUGUCACAUCCUCGCUAACAUUUGGUAUGAUGAGACUUUAAAAUUUUGGCCUUUCUAAUAAGUGUGUUGUAUCUCAUUGUGUUCUUAUUUAUUUUUAUUUUUUAUUUUUUGAGACAGGGUCUCACCCUGUCACUCAGGUUGGAGUAUAGUGGCGUGAUCACAGCUCACUGCGGCCUUGACCUCCUGGGCUCAAGCCAUCCCCCCACCUUAGCUUCCCGAGUAGCUGGGACAACUGGUGCGCACCACCAUACCUGGCUAAUUUCUGUAUUUUUGUAAUUUUUGUAUUUUUUGUCCAGGCUGGUCUCAAACUCCUAGGCUCAAGUUGUCUGCCCACCUUGGGCUCCUCAAGUGCUGGGAUUACAGGUGUGAGCCACUGCGCUCAGCCCUCAUUGUGGUUUUAAUUUGCAUUUUCCUCCUGACUAAUGAACAUUGAACAUCCAUUUAGAUGAUGCUAUCACAUUCCAUAACUUCUCUGGUGGUGUAUCUGUUCACAUCUUUUGCCCACAUCUAACCUUUUUUAAUGAGAUUGCUCAUUUUAAAAAGUAUUGAGUAUUGUAUAAUUGACAAAAAUAUAUACUCACGGAGUAUAAUGUGAUGUUUUAAUAUAUGCAUACAUUGUGGAAUGAUUAAAUCAAGCUAAUUAACAUAUACAUCAUUGUGGUUUUGAUUUGCAUUUCCCUGAUGAUUAGUGAUGUUGAACAUUUUUUCAUAUAUUUCAUAUAUUUCUUGGACUUGAAAUGUUCCCAACACAUAGAAAUGAUAAAUAUUCAACGUGAUGAUUACCUCAAAUACUCUGAGUUGGUCAUUACACAUUCUAUGGAGGUCACAAAAUAUCGUAUGUACCCCAUAAAUAUGUAAAAUAUUAUGUAUCAAUAAAAAAUAGAUGCAUCACAAGGCCGGGCAUGGUGGCUCACAUCUGUAAUCCCAGCACUUUGGGAGG